GACGAACGCUGGCGGCGUGCUUAACACAUGCAAGUCGAACGGAGUGGCGAACGGGUGAGUAACACGUGGGGGACCUGCCCUGCACUUCGGGAUAAGCCUGGGAAACUGGGUCUAAUACCGGAAAGUGGGGGAUGGGGCCGCGGCCUCUCAGCUUGUUGGUGGGGUAAUGGCCUACCAAGGCGGCGACGGGUAGCCGGCCUGGGCGGGUGGACGGCCCCAGUGGGCCUGCGACACGGCCCAGACUCCGACGGGAGGCAGCAGUGGGGAUUAUUGCACAAUGGGCGGAAGCCUGAUGCAGCGACGCGGCGUGGGUGAUGACGUCCUUCUGGUUGUAAACUCCUUUCACCAUCGACGCGGUAGAUGGAGAAGAAGCACCGGCUAACUACGUGCCAGCAGCCGCGGUAAUUC
rnacentral:rRNA from 1 species